AGGUCUUGACAUCCCUCUGACCGCUCUAGAGAUAGAGUUUUCCUUCGGGACAGAGGUGACAGGUGGUGCAUGGUUGUCGUCAGCUCGUGUCGUGAGAUGUUGGGUUAAGUCCCGCAACGAGCGCAACCCCUAUUGUUAGUUGCCAUCAUUCAGUUGGGCACUCUAGCGAGACUGCCGGUAAUAAACCGGAGGAAGGUGGGGAUGACGUCAAAUCAUCAUGCCCCUUAUGACCUGGGCUACACACGUGCUACAAUGGCUGGUACAACGAGUCGCGAGUCGGUGACGGCAAGCUAAUCUCUUAAAGCCAGUCUCAGUUCGGAUUGUAGGCUGCAACUCGCCUACAUGAAGUCGGAAUCGCUAGUAAUCGCGGAUCAGCACGCCGCGGUGAAUACGUUCCCGGGCCUU
rnacentral:rRNA from 1 species